rnacentral:rRNA from 1 species
AUUGAACGCUGGCGGCAGGCCUAACACAUGCAAGUCGAGCGGAGCGGCGGACGGGUGAGUGAUGCCUAGGAAUCUGCCUGGUAGUGGGGGAUAACGUCCGGAAACGGGCGCUAAUACAGCAUACUAUCAGAUGAGCCUUGGUCGGAUUAGCUAGUUGGUGGGGUAAAGGCCUACGAAGGCGACGAUCCGUAACUGGUCUGAGAGGAUGAUCAGUCACACUGGAACUGAGAACCGGUCCAGACUCCUACGGGAGGCAGCAGUGGGGAAUAUUGGACAAUGGGCGAAAGCCUGAUCCAGCCAUGCCGCGUGUGUGAAGAAGGUCUUAGGAUUUCAAAGCACUUUAAGUUGGGAGGCGUUACCAACAGAAUAAGCACCGGCUAACUUCGUGCCAGCAGCCGCGGUAAUUC